UUUUAGGGGAUGCUGCACAUCCAAUGACUCCGUUCAAAGGGCAGGGUGCAAAUCAAGCAUUAUUAGACGCUGUUUCCUUUGGCGAAUACUUGCUUCAUAAUAUGUAUAAAUAUCAAAAUGAGGAAGAAAAAGCCACUGUUGUUAUUAUUCAAGAGGCUAUUCGAGCUUACCACAAUGAAAUUGCUUCGCGAAGCGCUGCGAAGGUCGUUGCAAGCCGGAGGGCCGCUUUUCUGCUUCAUCCGCUCUCCCUUCUGAGGAGUGGCGAGCAGGCGGAUUGCUUGGACACCUUGAGCCCGAAACACGAGCUACUUGACUUGCUCGAAAAGCAUAAUAUAUCGGCCGGGACGCCUCACCAACUCGAUUUCAGGAUAAUAGAGGCGCUCGGUUGCCAGAAUCGCCCCCACGCUUUGCACUUUAAAAAGAUGGCAAAGUUUGGUGUCUAACUUGUGAAAUAUCGCUGUCAACGGGUCUUAAAAAAUUUGGUUUUCUUAGAACCAACUACACUCUUUU